GCUCGCAUAGCUCAGUUGGUAGAGCGCGGCACUAGUAGCAAUCACAUGAUGUCACGUGAUGCCGAGGUCAACGGUUCAAAUCCGUUUGUGAGCC
rfam:Pseudogymnoascus pannorum VKM F-4246 contig_448, whole genome shotgun sequence.